GCAAGUCGAACGAGAAAGUCCGAAAGGGCGAGUAUAGUGGCGUCCGGGUGAGUAACACGUGGGAAUCUGCCCUUGGGUGGAGAAUACCCUCGAGAAAUCGAGGUUAAUACUGCAUAAGUCGGAGACGAGAAAGGUGGCGUAAUUGCUACCGCCGAAGGAUGAGCCCGCGGCCUAUUAGUUAGUUGGUGGGGUAAAAGCCUACCAAGACAGAGAUGGGUAACCGGCCUGAGAGGGUGUAC
rnacentral:rRNA from 1 species